GGGCCUAUAGCUCAGCUGGGAGAGCGCUUCAAUGGCAUUGAAGAGGUCGUGAGUUCGAGUCUCACUAGGUCCA
rnacentral:tRNA from 1 species